ACACCCAUGGUGUGGGCAUUGGUUUGUGUAGCUCCUGAAUCUCUCAUAUGCUUCACCAAAACUUUCAUUGCAGUGCUGAGUGAAGCUAGAGAUUUGGUUCCUCAGUUU
rfam:Eutrema salsugineum unplaced genomic scaffold scaffold_4, whole genome shotgun sequence.